rnacentral:rRNA from 1 species
GGUGGACCUCGGAUCAGGUAGGGAUACCCGCUGA